rnacentral:tRNA from 1 species
GGUAUAUAGCUCAGUGGUAGAGUGCUUUCCUCUUAUGCACAAUGCCCUGGGUUCAAUCCCCAGCACCA